rnacentral:misc_RNA from 1 species
UUUCCGUAGGUGAACCUGCGGAAGGAUCAUUAUCGUACAAAAUGUGAGGGGCAUGCGAGGGCUGUCGUUGACCCAAAAGUCGUGCACGCCCGAGUGUGUCCUCUUGCAUAAUAAUCCAUCUCACCCUUUGUGUAUCACCGCGUUGGCACCCUUCGGGAUCAUCUCGGAGGGGGGAUCGCGUUUUCAUACAAACCCCCCCUUUUAAAAGUGUAGAAUGACCACAUUUAUGCAAUCAAUACAACUUUCAACAACGGAUCUCUUGGCUCUC